rnacentral:rRNA from 1 species
UAGGGAAUCUUCGGCAAUGGGGUGAACCCUGACCGAGCAACGCCGCGUGAGUGAAGAAGGUUUUCGGAUCGUAAAGCUCUGUUGUUAAGGAAGAACGAGUGUGAGAAUGGAAAGUUCAUACUGUGACGGUACUUAACCAGAAAGGGACGGCUAACUACGUGCCAGCAGCCGCGGUAAUACGUAGGUCCCGAGCGUUGUCCGGAUUUAUUGGGCGUAAAGCGAGCGCAGGCGGUUAGAUAAGUCUGAAGUUAAAGGCAGUGGCUCAACCAUUGUAGGCUUUGGAAACUGUUUAACUUGAGUGCAGAAGGGGGGAGUGGAAUUCCAUGUGUAGCGGUGAAAUGCGUAGAUAUAUGGGGGAACACCGGUGGCGAAAGCGGCUCUCUGGUCUGUAACUGACGCUGAGGCUCGAAAGCGUGGGGAGCGAACAGG